GGCAUCCCAUUUCCACAGCCCACGGCCUAGUUUAGGGCUGAAGAGACUCACAUUUCUUUCUUUUCACCGCCAUAGCUCUUUCCUUCGAAGUUCCUACACUGGUUUCUGUCAAGCUUGAAGGAACCUUUUUCCAUUUCUAGCCAUUUCCCCAAUCUGAAAUUGAUUUCUUCAAAAUUUUCUUUAUAUUUCCCCCCUCCAAUUUGAUAACUUGUUCGGUAAUCCAAACCCUAAUUUUUUUUCUUCUCUAUGACUUCUAAUUUGCGGCCUCAGCAGUGUUGAUGAUGUUUAAAAGCGGUUGUCGAAUCUGAAAUCCCGUUUCUUGUUUCUUGGGGUUGAUGCGGUAGGGAUUGCGGCAGAAAGUUAACUUCAGUAUGGGGUUUGACAACGAGUGCAUAUUGAACAUUCAGUCUCUUGCUGGGGAAUAUUUCUGUCCAGUUUGCCGCUUGCUUGUUUACCCACAUGAAGCGUUGCAGUCACAGUGCACUCACUUGUAUUGCAAGCCUUGUUUAACGUAUGUAGUUAGCACCACCAGGGCUUGCCCAUAUGACGGAUACUUGGUUACAGAAGCUGAUUCUAAGCCACUUGUUGAAUCAAAUAAAACUCUUGCUGAGACCAUCGGCAAAAUAGCCGUUCAUUGCCUGUAUCAUAGGAGUGGAUGCACUUGGCAGGGCCCAUUGUCUGAUUGCGUAACUCAUUGUUCUGGAUGUUCUUUCGGUAAUUCCCCUGUUUUAUGCAAUCGGUGUGGAAUUCAACUUGUACACCGGCAAGUACAGGAGCAUGCACAAACUUGUCCAGGUGUGCAGCAGCCUCAAGCACAACAAGCAGACGGUGCUCAAGGCACCGCAGCCAGUGGCACGGUAGCUGCUACUGAUCAGGCCCAGUCUGCUGGAAUGGGAAAGUCUCAAGCCCAAUCUUCGCAGAGUGUAGCGGUUAGUGCUCCUGCACAGGAUCCUAAUCAGCAGGCUAAUGCAAUUUCCCAGGGUUCAGCUGUUGUUCAAGCUGCUGUGCCGACUGCAGAACAGUGGUAUCAACAGCAGCAACAACAGUAUCAACAGUACUACCAGCAGUAUCCUGGAUAUGAUCCUUAUCAACAGCAGUACCAGCAGUACUACCCUUACCAGCAGCAAGCUGGUGUACCGUAUCAGCAGCCACAACCAUCUCAGGCCCUUCCUUCACACGUAGCUACCCAGCAUCCAUCUCAGGCUUACGUUCAGCCCCAGACUCAGCCACUGCCACAGCCUCAAUCUCAAACCCAAGUUCCGGUCCAUCACCAACCCCAAUCCCAACCCCAGCCCCAGCCCCAGCCCCAACCCCAACCUCAAUCUCUAUCACAGCCUCAACCAUUAACUCAGCCACAGUCUCAAUUACAUAUGCAUGCCCAAACACCUGCGGUUGGUCAAUCUCAGAACCAGGGACAGGUCAACCCUCAACAGCAGAUUUAUCAUGCUGGAACCCUGCAUUCUCAGAUCCAACCGCAGGGUCACCCACCUGUGCCUGGCCAAGCACAACCUCAACCUCAACCUCAGUCAUAUCCUCAAGUUCAGCCCAAUUCGCAGCAACCUGUGCAUAUGCCUCAAUAUCAGCAGUCCCAUUCCCAGAUACCACAUUCCCAGGCUCAAAUUCAGCAACAGGUGCAUCCUCCUUUCCAUCCGCCUCAACAUUCUGUUUCUCAGCCACCAUCCCAGUCACAAGCCCCCGCUCAACACCAUUCUCAGCUUCCUAACCCACAGAUCAAUCAAUCUCUAUCCAUGACGCCUAAUGCACAACCCCAAACGCAGAAUCCACCAACGUAUGCUGCAACGGGCUAUCCUUCUUAUCCCCAGCCACAGCAUCACCAGCAAAUGCAGUUGGGAGUUCCUCAAAAUGUCCCAUCGCCGCAUGCGCAAGGUGGGGCUCACCAACAAGCCCAACCGCUGGUUCAGAUGCAGUCUCAAUUGCCACAACCACCUCCCAUGCGUCCAUCCCAACCACCUCUGUACCAAAACCAGCAACAGCCACCAAUAUUGCCGUCCUCCAAUCAGGUUCAAAAUGUUUCUGCAGCACAACUGCAUAUACACUCCCAUGGCCAACAAACUGGAGGCCCUGGACAGCCAGCCAACCAGCGUCCUGUCAUGCAGCUAGUGCAACAGUCUGCAUCUCAGCAAGUUGUGCACCAACACCAGCAUUUUGGACAGCAAGGGCAGUUUAUGCAGCAUCAACUGCAUAUGACACCCCAAAUGCGUCUACCUGGACCCCCAAAUUCUCUGUCACAAUAUAAUCAUGGCUAUGCGCACUUGCAGCAUAAUGCUAAUUUACCUCAUGGCAUGCAACACAAUCCUUCUCAAAGUUCUGACGGGAGGCCUUUAGUGCCUAACCAAGGAGUACAAUCUAUUCCUUAUUCACAGUCCAUGGUUUGUGUUCCAGUGAGGGCAAUACAGCCUGGUGCUAACCAGCCUACUAUAAAACAGGGAUACGCAUUUGGUAACAAUAGUAACCAGGUGCAGUUGCCAGAUGGAUUUGGUGACCGCAAAUUAGAAAAAGGCCUGGAUGGACGAGAGAGUCUAUUAUCUUCUCAAAAGGAUGCCAAAAGAGCUGCAAAUCAUUUGGAUGUGUCAUCUAAUCUGGGGGCGGAUGCUGGUGAGUUGAAGACUGAAAAAUCUGAAGCUAGUUUGAAGGUGCCUGAUGAUAAAGGUAGAUAUGCUAUGGGGGAUAAACCAUUUCAUGCCGAUGCAUCUACUGAACGUACUCCACAAAAUGGGGCAAUGGACUCUAAUUUGCAUGUAGGUGACAGUGGUAAGACCAAGCAGGAUGAGCUAAAGGUAAAGGUAGAGGCAACAGAAAGUACUUUUGAUCAUUCGAGAAAUGAUAAGUUGGGGGAAGUCAGUAUUCAGGACCAGAAAGAUCUUGGCACUGAACCUAAGAAAAUGGAGGAUCUUGUUAUUGAGAAUAAAGGAAACCAGGAAGAAUCCCUUCAGAAGAUUUCAUCACAAGGCACUGAACUACGUGAAGAACAAAGCAAGAGGAUGCAGAAUGACACUAGUGGAACUCUGCACCCUUCCUCUGGUACAAGUGAGGGCCAACAAGGUGCCACUACUACAUCAUCUUUAAUACUUGGUAGUCCUGGCAUGUUGAAUCAACAUGGCUAUCAAGAUAAAAAUCCACCUCAAACUGGGGGUACUCAAAUUGGGGCAGCAGUGACUUCUCAUCCAGCUUCUCUAGUUGCUCAUACAAGACAUCAGACACCACCGAGUAGUUAUGUGUCAUCUGCACUUCAACAAGGUGCGGCAGCACCUUCAUUACCAGGACCUCCUCCAGGACCUUAUCAUCAGGCACAACUUUCAAAUAAUCCGUCCAUGCAAGUUAGGCCACGGGCCCUUGGCUUGGUAGCUCAUCCUGGACAACCUUUCAAUCCAUCUGAACCCUUUCUUCCGGGUGGCAUUCCAGAAUCUGGUUCGGCCCCUUCUUUUGGUAGAGGGCUAGGCCACUAUGGUCCUCAGCAAGCUUUGGAGCGAUCCAUUGGUUCUCAAGCAACCUAUAGUCUAAGCCAACCAUCUGCUUCUCAAGGGGGUUCAAAGAUGUCUCUUGGUGAUCCAGUUGGAGCGCACUUCCGUUCAAAGCUUCCUGGGGCUUUUGAUUCAAGGGGACUACUGCAUGCUCCUGAAGCUCAAAUUGGUGUUCAGCGUCCCAUUCAUCCUUUGGAGGUGGAGAUAUUUUCAAAUCAAAGGCCAAGACUUGAUUCCCAUCUUCCUGGGACCAUGGAACAUCGUCCACCACAUCUCACAGGAAUCCCUCCUAAUGUGUUGUCUUUGAAUGCCCCUGGUCCUGACUCCUCUUCCAAACUUGGUUUGAGGGAUGAAAGGUUCAAACUGAUGCAUGAAGAACAGUUGAAUCCCUUUCCGCUAGAUGCAGCUCGCCGUCCUAUUAAUCAGACAGAUGCUGAAGAUGUUCUCAGGCAAUUCCCCCGGCCUUCUCAAUUGGAAUCUGAUCUUGCUCAGAGAAUUGGGAAUUACUCUUUGAGACCCUUUGACAGGGGAAUGCAUGGGCAAAAUUAUGAUACUGGCUUAACCAUUGAUGGUGCUGCUGCUUCAAGAAUUUUACCUCCUCGUCAUAUGGGUAGUGCAUUACAUCCUACAGAUGCUGAGAGACCAAUUGGUUUUUAUGAAGAUUCUAUUGGACAAGCAGACCGAUCUCGUGGACAUUCUGAUUUUCCUGCACCAGGAAGUUAUGGUCGGCGUUUUGCAGAUGGAUUUGGUCCAAGAAGUCCUCUUCAUGAAUAUCAUGGACGUGGGUUUGGAGGUCAUCCAGGGUUUACGGGUGUGGAGGAAAUUGAUGGUCAAGACUUCCCACGUCAUUUUGGUGAUCCACUUUCAUUCCGCGAGUCUAGAUUUCCUAUUUUUCGAAGCCAUCUGCAAAGAGGUGAUUUUGAGAGCCCUGGUAAUUUUAGGAUGAGUGAACAUCUGAGAACUGGUGAUUUAAUUGGACAAGAUAGACAUUUUGGACCUCGAAGCUUGCCUGGGCAUUUACGUUUGGGCGAGCUGACUGCUUUUGGUUCACAUCCUGGUCAUUCUCGAAUAGGAGAUCUGUCUGUGCUUGGUAACUUUGAGCCAUUUGGUGGAGGGCAUAGGCCAAAUCAUCCACGGCUUGGUGAACCUGGGUUUAGAAGUAGUUUUUCUCGUCAGGGGCUUGCAGAUGAUGGUAGAUUUUUUGCAGGAGACGUUGAAUCUUUUGAUAACUCAAGGAAGAGGAAACCAACCAGCAUGGGAUGGUGUAGGAUUUGUAAAGUUGAUUGCGAAACAGUUGAAGGCUUGGAACUGCAUUCACAGACUAGAGAGCACCAGAAGAUGGCUAUGGAUAUGGUGCAGAGCAUCAAACAAAAUGCAAAGAAACAUAAAGUAACUCCAAAUGAUCAUUCCUCUGAGGACAAAUCAAAGAAUGUUGGUCUUGAGAGCCGUGGGAAAAAGCAUUAAAUUUGCAACUCUUCUUGUUACACUCAUGGACUCCGUUUUACAGAGGCCAAUUUUGUUUCCUUGGUCUUGUUACAUCUAGUGAUAUAGGUUGAUCUGCCAUGUAUGAAGAUGAUUCUUGAGGAUGAAGUUCUCUGGCAAUCUUUCAAUUCAACCUGUACUUUUCUGGGCGAAGCAGACUACCAAAAUGCUGAAAGUUCAGUGGAAAGGGUUAGCAAGUCAUCUUUGUUUGAGGUGGUAAGAAUGUGUUUGAUGUAAAGAUGCAUUAGUUGCAAAUCACUUUGCUGUAUUUCUAUUUAUUAACCUUGCACUGAUGCUUAAAUUCUGUUUCUUGCACCAUCAAUUCUUUUUUCACAUUAAUGUCAUAAAAUUUAGGUUUCAGCCAUAAUUUUCAUUAUUAGGGGAGGAGCUUCUUUUUAUUAUUAUUAUUUUUAUUUUGGCUAGAAAACUGAAAUACGCCCUAAUAGUGAAAAGGAGUGAGGGGUGUUAACCAAAAAGCAUUCUGCUGGUACAUCAAUGAAAUGGACGUUAUCUUAGUUCUGGAAGUGCACACUUGGAAUAAGAUAAAAUUCUACACUAUUCCCCAUAUUUCUUCUGAAUCUAUAGCGGUGUCCUAAAAACUUGUUUGGUUUCUUAUUAACCAGAAAAACCAAAAGAUGACAUACAUUUCACUUUAUCCAUAGAUUGGAAAAGGACGUCAUACAGCAAUUGCUAAUAAGUCCCAAGUACCAGCUUAUUCAUCCUCUUACAGAUUUAAUUUUGAGGAAGCAGAGGAUCUAUUGUAUGUAUUGAUUUUAUGAAAAGCUACAACCAAGAUGUAUUUAUUACCCAUAGGAGUUUGCAAGAAAAACCACUCCAAUUGUGGAGGUAACUGCAGAGGGAGCGUAAUUAUGGUGAGAACUAUGAAAUGCACCCUACAAAUGUCCGUCUCUUGUCUUUUGCUUCUCCUCCUCCUCUUCUUCCUUCCCAAGUCUGUGGAGCUGGCUUCACUGUCUUCUUCUUGUGACUCCUUUGCUUUCAUUCCAAGUCAAGCACAAUUCAGAUAUGUGGUCCAUACCUUUUGCACCCUAUCAAAUAAAAAAAAGAAUCUCCUGGGGAAUUUUGAUUUCUAGUUUGUUUGCACGCUCGAUAAAAAUUUUGUGAUGAUAAUUAAAUUUAUGAAAACAACAAAAUGAGGGGGAAUGAGCAUGUAAAAAGAAAAAUAGUAUGUAUAGAGAGAGUAUGUUAACUAAAUUUAUGAAAACAACAAAAUGAGGGGGAGCGAGCAUGUAAAAAAAAAUAGUAUGUAUAGAGACUAUGUUAACUAAAUUUAUGAAAACAACAAAAUGAGGGGGAGCGAGCAUGUAAAAAGAAAACUAGUAUGUAUAGAGAGAGACUAUGUUGUAAUUAGUGUGAGAAAAAUAAUAUGUAUAGAGAGAGACCAUGUUGUAAUUAGUGUGAGAGUUCUAUGUUGCGAUGAGAGAAAGUUCAGUGGGAAAUUGCUGAGAGUUAAUUAUGAGAAGUUAGUGAAAGGUGUGUCAAGAGAGAUUAGUGAGAAAAAUGUGUAUAGAGUGUAAUUAAGGAAUAAUGUGUAAACCAAAAGCACUUGAUUAGAGCAUCAAUGAUUUGUUUCUUUCAAAAGCACUUCUAAAUGUGCAUUUGGAUUUUUUGAUAGGCACUUUCAAAUUGUAUUUAUAAAGCACAAACUUUUGAGGUAGGAAGCACUUUUUAACGAAGUACUAUUGCAAUGGUGAAAAGCACUCCCAAAUGGACCCUUCACCCAUAUUUUCAGCAUUUAUUAUCUCUAAGGUCUUCAAAUUCCAAGUUGGUUAGUUUCCUUUUUGCCUCAAAGUUUCAAACCUUAAUUUGUUCACCCUAGUAUUCACUCACCCAUUUUUGCUUAAGGCUCCAUCACAUAAAUUGGAAAAUCUAGCAGCAGGGAAUUGAUUGUCGAUCCAGGCUUCUUCCCAUGGAUUUGCUUUCCAUGACCUAUUUUGGUCUGGGAAUGGUCUGAGAUAUUUCCUUUCAAUUUAGCAAUGUUUCUCCUUUGGAAGGUAGUGGCUGAAGUUCGUUCUUGGUGGAAUAACUUAUUAUUUUGGGGUGUUUCUUUGAGAAAUUCUCUCGUUUCAUAUCAUAGUGGGAGAUGGAAGGUGGGGCCUACUUUUAGGAAGAUGUUUGGUCAGAAAUUAAGUGUCUUUCUCAGUUUACAAGUAUUUUUGGAUGGUUUCUAGCACUCUUUGUUUUAUUUAUGAUGCUUUGAUAGAACAAUGAAGUCUUGGAAGUUACUAGAAGAAAUCUUAAAUUCAGGAAUUUAGUUCCUUGCUUUGGAGGAAGGUUUACCCGAUUUUCGAAUGGUAUAUCCAAAGGAAAGGAGUAUUUGCAGUGUUUUCUGUAAAGGUCCUAGUUAGAUAUCUUAGUAUGACAUUAGUAAGAGGGCAUAAGUAUAGUUAGUUAGGAAGUUAGUGUAUUUGGUUAUAAAUAGAGGGAGAGUGAUUGAGAGUAGAUGGGGAAUUGUUGAGUGAUCUAGGGCUUGGGUUAGCAUACUUAAUAGGGGAGGUUUUGAGUGCCUUUAUACUGGGGUUAUCAUGUAGUUUCAUCUUUAUAUGUCAAUAUAUUUCAGAUCCUAUUUUGGUUAGGAAGUACCCUAACAUUUUCUUGGUGCUUUCCUUGCUCACUGAGCUUAGCUUUCUCUUAUUAUCCUAGUCUGUGUGCAAGGUUUGCUGGAAGUCUAGAAUUCCCAAUUAGUUCAAUGUGUUUAUUUGGAUCUUGCUAAAGGGUAAACAACACUCAAAAUUUAUUAAUGGAAGUCCUUUUGCUUGCUUUACAAGCAGCUGUUCGUAUCCAGUUUAUGAAAGUCAAAAGGUAGGGAAGAUCAAAAUCAUAUCUUAUUUUCAUUGUUGCUAUUCUGGAAAUCUGGCAGUACCUUGUGUAAUUGUUUUCGAGUUUCUUAGGUUUUUGACAAAUGUUCCAUAAACUAUAUCUUGCAAUGUCUUUUAGAGACGUGAAGUUCAAGAGUUGAUUUUAGUGAAACACACCCUUUCUUCAUUCGUAUAAAUAUUGCCGCUAGAUCUGAUCUAUCAGUUCCUUAAGAAAUUGCCUAACUGUUUUGACACAAGACUAUCAUUCCUUUCGCUCAAAGGCCCAAUUCUUGCAGACCUCCAUUUUAUUUAUAUAUGGUCACCUGUCAAUUUGUAGCUGAUUGCCUGGGCAUGGGAAAAAUAGAUGUGAUAGGUUUAGAAAUAUGUCAGAACGACUUUGCUUAAUGCCAAUUUUAGACUUUUAGGAAAACAUCUUGUAAAUUUCUAACUUGCACGUCUCUCUGUCCACCGUUGGUUUUUUAGAAAGAAAUCUUUGCUUACCUUCAUCACCCAAGCAAGUUGAAGUUAAGACACUCAUUUCCCGAUCACCCUCUACUACACCCUUCAUUUGAUUGGUUGGUAUAUUGACUCCACGCAUUAGAGUUUUCUCUAUUUAUCUAUAGGCAGAUGUUGGGUACCUUUAACAUGUGAUGUAAUUUCCCUUUUAAGAUGAGUAAGGAAACAUUUGCAUGGUUGAUGGAAGCAUUGUAAAGGUCUUCGACUUUUAAUACUAGUUCAUGUAUUUUCAAUAAAUGUUAAAAUUAAUUAUUGUCGUUAGUUUUUUUUCCCCUUUUUUUUUUUUUAAAAAAAAAUAGUCUUUAUGAAAGUGUCCUUUAUAAAAUUCAUUCUUUAUUGUCUUUUCAGACCAGAGGUCUUCCAAAGCCGAUUUGAGCAUUGAAUGCUCAAUCGGUCAUUCCAAUAAGUCAAAACUUUUGAAUCCCACUUCUGCAUGGUGUUCAAACUCAAGAGAUAUAUAUACAUAUUUUUUAAUUUUAUUUUUAUAAACCACUUCCCAACUUCUAAUAACUAAAUCUUCCAAACAACUGCCAUCAUUGAUUUAUUGUUAAAUCAUACCUUAGCAUGUCGCCCACAAUGAAGAAGAGGAAUGAGAGUGGAUCCCCUACCUGGCUCCGUAGAUGCUUUUAUUUGCCUCCUUGGUUUUCUGAUCAGAAAACUUGAAUUUUAAUUCCAUGAAUGCAUCCUCCCUCAAACCAUUGGUUACACUUCUGCUCAAAGCCUUUCCUUCCCAGUACAUCAACAAAGAGAAGUUUACGGCUUAACUAGUGACUGUCCCGUCUCUGUCGCACUUAGUUUCAGAAGAUCUACUUAGCUUACUGACCUAUCUAUUGUAAACCUGAGUUGAUAAAUGAGAUUGAUGUUAAGCUUAUUUAGUAUGCUUAUGCAAUGUUAUGUUACUUGGUGAUUGCCUUUGGCCACCAAAAUUGAGAUUAUAAUGUUUUAGUGGCUUUUGUAGACGCUCUGAGACAGAUAUUUAGUUCAAUAAUGAAUGACAGCUGCCGUGUUUCUAAUUUCUAGACAAAAAUUUGUAGUGUUUCAAUUAAUUAAUUAUUAUUAUUUUCUUUUUUCUUCUUAGCUGUCUUGUAUAGAUUGCAGAAAACAUUACAAAAAUGUUUGAUGGGGUUUAAAAUCUAGGGGCUUCUUCCUUAAGAACGAUAUUAAGAAUGUUAAAGAGGUGGAAUUGCAGCAGAAGUUUAGCUAGAAAAUCCUUGCAUGUUUAAAGCCCACAAUACACUUUUUUGAAUAAUGGGAGGGAGUUUGAAGAAACAGCCUAGGUGCAGGAGAAGAGAGCUUCCCCUACCAAAGAUAACUACUUUCAAGAAGGUCCACCAAUUCAAAAGGAUGAAAGAAAUAGGGUAAUACACCAAAUCAAAAGGAUAAAAUUCCAAAAAGUAGUAAAAAGGAGGUGGCUCGCAUAUCUUAAAAAGUCUCUUUUGUUUCUUUUAAGCUGAAGACCCCAAAUCAAAGCCCUAAUGGAAACACCAAAAAAGGCAACAUUCCUUUGAUUCUUAGGCUCUUAGGCAUGGUUAUGGAUAGUGGCCAUCGUGAGGGACUUUUUAUUUGUGCAUUUUUAGAAUUUUGUUCAUAUAUACUUUUGUGUGGGUGGCCUGAGUUUCUUAGUGACCCAUGGGGUUGUAGGCUGCCUGAUUUACCUCAGUUUUUGGGUAAAAUCGUACUUGGACCAUUUAUUUAUUGAAGGAAAAUGAAAAAUGGAAGCUGAAUCACCCACCUGUUAUAACCAUGCUGACCGAAUCACGCAGACCAUUGGUUUGGUCAGUUAGGUUAAUGGUUCACCACUUAAUGAAUUAGUUGCUUGAGGGAUGGGGUGGAUACGAAGCGGUUAGGUGUAAAAAAGUAAAUUAAGGAGGAGGAGAUGAGACUGCUUAUUGCCCUUCACUCAUGUUUGUGCGCUGUCGAUUGGUUGGACUGCUCGCUGCUGUGCUGUCAGCAACUCAACUUUGUGUAUGCAACACUGAUCGAGUUGACAAGAUUGAUGUGUGUUGUUGCCAUUGAUGUGAUUGUUGUGGAUUUUCAAAGUUCUACUUCAAUCUUCAAUCAACGAUGCCCAAAUCAAAUGGUGUGGAGAAUUAGAACUUUCAGAGUGGUGUGGACUAUGGACUAAGAUAUGUGAUUGCAAUGCAGACUACGGCUUCUUUCUGAAGAAUGUCAGACUGAUGAAAAUUGAAGUUGAAAUUGUUAAAUCAAAUUAGAAAUAGAUUUUUUUUUUUUAAAAAAAAAUUCCAUGUCUUAGGGAUUUGAGAUUAAUCCAUUCCAAAUCGGUUGGCUUCCUUUAUUUGAAUGGUAAAUCUAAAUGCUAUACAGUAAACAUACUAUGAAGGACAUAAACUAAAAAGAACAGAAAGAAGAUUAUGCUAAUUGGUUGAUUUGGGUGAUGUUUGGUAGGUCGCACCCGUAAUCAUGACUAACCGAUUAGCGUUCGAUGUGCUACACUCCAAGCCCUGACUGCUUGAGCCCAAUUGGAAUCUAACCAGCCACCUACUGUUUUGGGUGGUUUUUCGGUUUUGAUUGCACCCCUAGUGACCUGCAGUAAUCUAUCUGCUGCUCGUUGAACAUGAUUAUUUUUUAGGUUUUCUGCACUUCAGGAUAAGGUGGGAUGGAGUUAAAUCAUAUCUUCAUUAAUUUUCUGGAUAUAGGUAAUGUCCUCUUUCGUAACUAUCUUAAAUACAAGUAAUUCUGUAUCUUCUCAGAACCGUCCUGGUUAAGCUGUUUGUAAGUUUACAUUCUACUUCUCAAGUUUGUGUUUUGGUUGUUACGAUCACCAUACAUUUUUCUGUUAAGUUAUGUUUAAUUUGUUUCAAUUGGAAGCAGUUAAUUUUCUUCUGGGUUAGAAAUAGAAAUUUGAAUCAUUUAUAUCUUUUUAAGAUUUCAGGUAGUAGAAAAUUAUAGGAUCAGGAUUGUGGCCUUGGCUCUGAACCUUGAGAAGAUAUGAAUGGUGGUUGAAAAAUCCUAGGCAUGACAAGAGGAUUGCUUAUGGUUAUGGAUCAAUUCAAAAGUAGGAUUUUUUUUUUCCUUUUUCUUUUUGGGUAGAAGACUUGGAAGAAAGUAAAAUUUUGGAAGAUCAUAGAUAUUUCCCAUAUUUUAAAGCCUCAAAUGUAGUCCAAUGCUUUUACAAUCUAAAAAUACCUUGGGAGUAAUCCUUUUGCAAUUAGGACUAGUUAGAGAUUGGAAUAAUAUUUCUUGCCAUGAAUCUUCAACUGGCCUUUUCAUUUCAUUAAUUUUCGUUAGAUUCCCAACUUGAAAAAGUAGCAAAAAGAAGAGGGAAAAAGAGGAAAAAAAAAAAAAAACUCAGAACUUGGUCAAGAAUCUUGCCAUAGAUUUUGGAGAGUUGACAUGAAACAAAGAGUUUUGGUACCUUUUUUCCCCUUAAAAAAAGAAAAAGAUGUGAAAAAAAAAAUAUGAAAAUAAAACAAAAUUACAUGGGGAUUCAUCCAAUCGGCCUGUAAAAAGAAAAAAAAAAAAACACUAGAGAAGUUAAAUAAGGGACUUUGAGAAGAAAAAUGGGAGAUUAGUGAUAUGGAUCUAUUAUUUGUAUGAUUAUAUGAACUAACUGUUUUAACAUAUUUGAUUUAAUGAACUAGUAGGUGGCUUCAAAAUCAUCUCUGCACUCUUCAAUCUCGGUGUUGCUGCCCUCACUCUCUUUUUGUAAUUUUGGUGUUCAUUUUGGACCAUAUUUCCCUAAUGAGGCUGUGUAAUAAAUCAUUAACCCUUAUAUUCAUAAUUUGAAUUUGAAUUUUCUUCUUUCUUUUUCUUAUGCUUUCCUCAUCCCCCAAAUGUAUAAUGAUCAAUGUCCAUGGCAAAUUUUGUUGACA